rnacentral:rRNA from 2 species
AGCAUAUAAGUAAGCGGGGGAAAAGGAACUAAAUAGGAUUCCCUCAGUAAUGGCGAAUGAACAGGGAUGAGCUCAGGCUGGAAACCGAUACAUCUGUGUCGGGCUGUAGCCUGCAGGCAUAGCGCUAUCGGCGGCUCGAGCGCAAGCCUCUUGGAAUAGAGCGUGUGCCCGGGUGAGAAUCCUGCAUUUCGCUCGAUGUCCGCUGUCCACAGUGCUUGUCCUGAGAGUCACGCUCCUCGGAAUUGGAGCGUAAAUCAGGUGGUAAGUUUCAUCCAAAGCUAAAUAGAAGCUCGAGACCAAUAGCAAACAAGUACCAUGAGGGAAAGAUGAAAAGGACUUUGGAAAGAGAGUUAAAAGUGUUUGAAAUUGCUGAGAGCGAAGCGAACGGAGCCACAUGUCGUGCUGAGAUUGCUGUGGGUCUUUGUGAGCCUUGAGCAUGUAAGCGCAAGCUGACUGCUUAUGUGUGAGCAUUUGCCCGCAGUGUUUCUCAGCAUGCGAGUCAUUAGCCACAUUUGUUUGAGGAUGGCCUUCAGCUCACAUGGUACACUUGUUAGUGUUCCUCUGUGCGGUGUGGGACUCAGACAGGUGUGGCUUGUUGACCCAG